rnacentral:snoRNA from 1 species
AAGCCUAUGGUGAGGGCAUCUUCUCAAGAGGUCCUUGUAUCUCUCCCAUGCAUCAUAGAGUGUCUCUAGAUCCACUUACACAAAAGAAGAGAGUCAUUCCUUAACUU